AUGAGAUACUAAUAAAAUAAUUAUAUAACUUUGUCGAAGUUAAAUUAUAGGUUAAACCCCUUUGUAUCUCC
rnacentral:tRNA from 1 species